GUUUCAAAUAUAUUUCUUGUAUAUAUUUUUAUUAUUGAAAAAUACAUUCACUGUUAGUGUUUAUUAAGUUCUCUCAAGUUAAAUCUGAAUUAAACUUUUACCUAUAAUGAAAAUAUUUAUUUUAUCCCUAACUGAAUGUCAAAUAAUGUCAAAUAAGAAAAGUUGAUAGAGAUUGAAAGUAUAUUUGAAGGGGCAAACGGAUAAAAUAUUUUUUUCCGCUAACUUAAGAAUAAAUAAAAAAAUUGAUAAUAAUAGACGAGUAUAUUUAAAAGUGUAAAAUAAUACUUUUACAGAAAUAAUGAUUGUUUCUAAUCGUUCACUAACAAAAUUAAACUCCAGAAAAAUACCUCUAUAAUUUUUUAUGACUUGUAAUAAUUCUACAACUUAGGCCCAUUUGUUAAUAACAAAAAAUAUUUUGAGAGAAAUAUGAUAUGCUAAACUGAACUGAAAUAUAAAACAACUGGACGUUAAUAAAUUUAUGAUUUUUGGAUAUUAUUUGGGAAUUGAGCUAGAAUCCUUUUAGAAGCACUAAUAUCUCGGUGCUUCUAAGUUUCUAUCUCUUAGAUUUACUCCUUAAUUACUAAUACCCUUUAGAUCAAACACUAUUCUACCUACCACUAUCAUCUUAACCCUAUAUCUCUCAAUCUAAUUCUUUAAGGUAUCGUUUGGUUCGGGGAUAAGAAAAAAGUGGCUAUUCUAGGGAUAGGUAUAAAUUGAGGUAUAAGCGAGGAUUAGAUCAAUUUUACGUUUGGAUGAAAAUUGGAUUAUUCCUGGAAUAAAAAAAAUAGCGUUUGGUUAGGUAAGAUGGAAUAAAAAAGAUAAUGGGUUUUGUAAAUAAAAAAUAAUAAUAUUAUCCACUUAUUAUAUUUGAAUUUGAAUUUUUAAAUUUUUAAAUUUAUAUUUCUAAAUUUAAAUUUUUAACUUUGAAAUUUAAAAUCUCAAAUUUUAAAUUCAAAAUUUUAAAUUUUAAAUUUCAAACUUUAAAUUUAAGAUCAUAUUUAAAUUUAAAAAAAAUAUCAAAUAUCAAAAUUUAAAUUUCAAAAAUUUAAAAUAUCAAAAUUUAAAUUUAAAAUUUAAAAUUUAUAAUUUAAAUUUUAAACUUUAAUUUUGAGAUUAUAAAUUAUAAAUUUUAAAAAUUUAAAUUUUUAAUUUUUAAAAUUUUAAAAUAAGAAUAGUGGUGGGAACAAUUAAUAAAAAUAAUUUAUUAUAAUAAAUUUAUAAAUUUUUUAAAAAUUCUACUUAAAUUUAAAUUUAAUAAAAAGAAUUUAUUAUAAUAUUUAAAUAUAAUUUAUUAUAAAUUUUAUUAUAAUAUUUAAAUAUAAAUAAUAUGUAUUAAUAUAGUACAAUUAAUAAUUUUAUAAUAAAAAUAAUGUAUUAUAAUAUAUAACAUAUUAUAUUUAUAUAAUUUAGUUUAAUUCAAUUUAUAAGUUUAAUUAAGUUUGAAAUUAAGCAUUGGAAUAGCACUAUUCCACCAAAAUGGUGGAAUAGCAAAUCCCUUGCUAUUCCGGGAUAACCGAGAAUAGCAAGGUUUGACCGGGAUAAAAUAUCCCGGCCAAAUUUCACCCCGUUUGGCGGAAUAGCGGGGAUAACUUUCGUUAUCCCCGCUUAUCCCGCGAUCCAAACGGGGCCUAAAAAUUUAAAAGCACCAUCCCUUAGUACUUUUGAGAGUAUUCUAACGCAACUCUUAGUCACCGUUUGGUUGGGGGUUAAGGGGUGGAAUAACCCCUUAACCCCCAAUUUAUACCCAAACACCACUCUUAAGGGGUGGGGUUUACUACCCCACCCAAAACCGGGUUAGUGGGGUUUACUAACCCCACUCCACCUCCCAACUUUAACCCCGCACGUAUCCCGAGCCCUCACCUUUUUCUUCUUUAUCAAUCAUUAACCCCAUCCCCCCUCCCAACUUUAACCCCGCACGCAUCCCGAGCCCUCACCUUUUUUUUCUUUAUCAAUCAUUAUCUUCUUAUUCCACCUACUCCAACCAAAUACUUUUUUUCACUAUCCUAGACUAACUCCAAUUUCCAACUAAACAUAAAAAAAUUUUAACACCAUUUUAAUCAUGAACUUAACACUAUUUUUGAAAUAACUACUUUUUCUUAACCCCGAAACAAACGGUGGCUUAAAUUAUUUGGCAACAAAAAGUUAGAAAAGUAGGUAAUGGUUAGGAAGAAGUG
rnacentral:lncRNA from 1 species